rnacentral:rRNA from 1 species
UAGGGAAUCUUCCACAAUGGACGCAAGUCUGAUGGGGCAACGCCGCGUGAGUGAAGAAGGUUUUCGGAUCGUAAAGCUCUGUUGUUGGUGAAGAAGGAUAGAGGCAGUAACUGGUCUUUAUUUGACGGUAAUCAACCAGAAAGUCACGGCUAACUACGUGCCAGCAGCCGCGGUAAUACGUAGGUGGCAAGCGUUGUCCGGAUUUAUUGUGCGUAAAGCGAGCGCAGGCGGAAUGAUAAGUCUGAUGUGAAAGCCCACGGCUCAACCGUGGAACUGCAUCGGAAACUGUCAUUCUUGAGUGCAGAAGAGGAGAGUGGAAUUCCAUGUGUAGCGGUGGAAUGCGUAGAUAUAUGGAAGAACACCAGUGGCGAAGGCGGCUCUCUGGUCUGCAACUGACGCUGAGGCUCGAAAGCAUGGGUAGCGAACAGG